ACAAAACUGGCUUGAAUUUUGACAUUUUGUUUAGAGAAAUCAUUGUCAGUGCUGUGGCUUUGCAUUUCGUGCACAUGCUUCAGAAAUAUAUAGCCAUUGUACUCAUACAGGAGACAAAUCCAGCCUGAUAUCAUUCUCUCCUCGUUGUCUCUUUCAACACAAGGUGGCAAAGUAAAUGUGUGUACAAGACUUGUUUUAUUCAGACAAACAUUGUGGCUUCCCCUCAGCCACUGGAGAAGGACUAGUGGCAUUGCCUAAAGGAGGGCGACAUCUUUUCUUUCAUGCCUGGGAAAUGCAUUUACACGGUGCGUGUCAAAGACGACGACCAAACCCCGAGGUGAUACAGCCUGUCUCUCACAAGCAUUCAUUUAUUAUUCAGCAACAACAGAGCUCAGUCUGUAGUGCAGUGAUUUGACCGAGUACAACAUGUUUGCAGCCUCCUCUUUUAUUUCUUCCACUUCCUUAAGGGAAGGGUUAAUAUUGGCGUUGAAUGCAAUAUUUUAUAAAAUUUUCUUACUCUAUUCAAGUUUGGCUUCCUUCUGGUUUGAAGCACAUUUACGAUCCGAAAUGAUUCCUCAUGGAAACAAUGAAGUGCUGCAUUGUUUUCAUGUUUAAAAUUGUCAAAUUAUGGAAGCGAAAUUGGUUGCAAAUGUUUCACGAUGAUUCAAUGAAGGAUCCUCAUGAAUAUUCUCAACUUCAUGAAUAUACGAAUACGUACAUGCAUGCAGUGUUAUCAUUCUUUGUUAUCUUAAAAUAGCACCUUUUGUAAAGGCCAGUCAUUUAUCUCAUCUAUCUAUAUUCCCUCUAGUCAAGAUAAUAUGUGUCUGGUUGAUUGUGGUUAUUUUGACCUUUUCCCUUGAAACCAAUCUGUGACCGCUGGGUUCAGAUCAAAGGACACUUUUAUUGUCUUUCUCUAUAAUGAGCAGACAGGCAGACUGGGCUUGAAUGGACACGUUCAAAACAGACGCUCUGAUAACGCCCAGACGAUAAACAAGCGAUGAGUGCUGCUGUGACGAAUUGAUUCUGAAUGAGCUGAUUUGCAUGCAUUUAAAAGUCAUGCCUUUCAUCUGUGAAAUUAGACUUAAUAUUAGGUGGCUGUAUUUUUUUUUUAUGGCAUGCUCGCUCACGCUGACGAGGGAUUGUUUUUAUGGUUAAUAGAUUAAUAGUAUUAAAAACUGGCGAGAUACAAGCCUCGACGUUUGGUGCUUGACUUAGAGAAGCAGAGAAGAUUUUCCCUGCUGAUUCUUGACAGAAACAGUCAGGCGUUUGAGGAGGAGUUGGGAAAGUGUUGGAGUGGACCCUCUCUAGACUCGGCCACACUUGAAACCAACAGCUGCACACCCAAGAGCCCAAGCGGCACACUCACAGAAGAUAAAGGAGCCGGUGAUGCUUCACACACUCUUUCCUCUCCAAAUGAGGCAGCCAUGAAGAGUCAACAGGACGAGUCUGAUCUGCCACAGAAGAAGCGUAUUUUACCAGCCUGGAUGAUGACAUCAGCCAAAGGUGAGAGCUCAGCGGUGUAAGCGACUCCUACAAAACCCAAACAAGAAGCUACAUACAAGAAGGCAACUGGACCCAAACGGGCUCGUGCUGCACAGGUGUCAUCUGAGGAAGAGGAGGUGGAGGAACAGAUGCCCAGAAGGAAAGCGAAGGGACUGAAGAGUGACUCUGGAGACGUAUUCUGCACAAUGUGGGAU